UAGGGAAUCUUCCGCAAUGGACGAAAGUCUGACGGAGCAACGCCGCGUGAGUGAUGAAGGUUUUCGGAUCGUAAAACUCUGUUGUUAGGGAAGAACAAGUAUCGGAGUAACUGCCGGUACCUUGACGGUACCUAACCAGAAAGCCACGGCUAACUACGUGCCAGCAGCCGCGGUAAUACGUAGGUGGCAAGCGUUGUCCGGAAUUAUUGGGCGUAAAGCGCGCGCAGGUGGUUCCUUAAGUCUGAUGUGAAAGCCCACGGCUCAACCGUGGAGGGUCAUUGGAAACUGGGGAACUUGAGUGCAGAAGAGGAAAGUGGAAUUCCAAGUGUUGCGGUGAAAUGCGUAGAGAUUUGGAGGAACACCAGUGGCGAAGGCGACUUUCUGGUCUGUAACUGACACUGAGGCGCGAAAGCGUGGGGAGCGAACAGG
rnacentral:rRNA from 1 species